GUAGGGGGCGAGCGUUGUCCGGAUUCAUUGGGCGUAAAGAGCUCGUAGGCGGCUCAGUAAGUCGAGUGUGAAACCCUCAGGCUCAACCUGGGGACGCCACCCGAUACUGCUGUGGCUAGAGUCCAGUAGGGGAGUGUGGAAUUCCCGGUGUAGCGGUGAAAUGCGCAGAUAUCGGGAGGAACACCAGCGGCGAAGGCGGCACUCUGGGCUGGUACUGACGCUGAGGAGCGAAAGCGUGGGUAGCAAACAGGAUUAGAUACCCUGGUAGUCCACGCCGUAAACGUUGGGCACUAGGUGUGGGACCCCUCCAACGGGUUCCGUGCCGUAGCUAACGCAUUAAGUGCCCCGCCUGGGGAGUACGGCCGCAAGGCUAAA
rnacentral:rRNA from 1 species